rnacentral:lncRNA from 1 species
AGGACUGCGCUCCAGGAUGCAACCAAAGCCGGGUGCACAGCAGCCGGCAUGGCGCCAAAACUGAAGCCCUGAGCUGCUCUGCGGUGCUACCCUUUGUCCCUCCAGACUCUCUUUUCCUUCAUCUGUUUGUCAGUAAACCGAAGCCACCACAGUUUGUCAUUUGGAUGAUUUUCGCCAGAUGGAGAAGCUGCAGCUCCAGACUCUUGACAGCCGCACAACUUCCAAGGCAGUGGCCCCGCGGGCUGCAAACCCCACCUUCCUGCAGUUGCAGAGCCAGCUAAGAGGUGGGCAGCAUGCCAGGCCCCAUCAGCAGCCCCUGGAGCACACACCAAUUGCAGAUGCUCAGGAGACUCGGGGGAAGGAACGGGGUUUUCACCAGAACACCACAGGCAGGACCUCCCAGCAAAGGCCUCCAGAUGCUGUGAAAACCUAAGGCUCGUCCUCCUCCUGGCUUCCCAGGUUACCCAGCCACAACACACAGAUGCUGGGUCUGGGACGGCUCCACUGGAACCUGAGAUGACCUGAGGGUGUCCCAGUGAUAUAACAUAUGAGGAAAGCAGAAACAACUAAGAAAUAGACUCUGAAUGUGGCAGAUUCUAGAACUGAGCAUCCAGUCUUCCUAAUUUAGAAGAACCCCAAAAUAGGUGAAAAGUACAACCCCACCUCUGAUCCCGCCUCUGACCCCGCCUCCUGUCACAGAGGCGGAAGAGGAGCAGAUCUUCACUUUCCACACCUCAAGGUACUCAGCCAAUCACCUGUUCAUGCCUGAGAUUGUGAAUCCAAUAGGAAAGUACAAGGACAUGGAGAUUGUCAGAGCUGUUGUAUGAUGGUGGCAGCAGAGUCAAGAGUCCAGCGGAGAGGCAGCAAGCAUCCCAAGGAUCCCAUGACUGAGAACCAGCUUCUGUGGUUUAGAAGCAAGGCGCCAACUGGUAUGAGAAGCACAGACAGAUGGUGCCCUGGGAACACUGGCUGUCACGUGCUGGAGGAGGUUCCUCAGCAAGUCACCUUCCCUCCAUGGGCCUCUGUUGGAAAGAAGGCAUCAAGAUCAUUCCAGCUAUGAUUCCUGAGCUUUUAAUAUAUUCUUUCUGAUGAUUAAGAAAUAUAUCUGUCGAGCAUGGCAGCUUACGCCUGUAAUCCUAGCACUUUGUGAGGCCGAGGCGGGUGGAUCAUGAGGUCAGGAGUUCAAGACCAGCCUGACCAACAUGGUGAAACCUCGUGUCUACUAAAAAUACAAAAAUUAGCCGGGUGUUGUGGUGUGUGCUUGUAAUCCCAGCUACUCGGGAGGCUGAGGCAGGAGAAACACUUGAACCCGGGAGGCGGAGGUUGCAGUGAGCUGACAUCACGCCACUGCCCUCCAGCCUGGGUAACAGAGUGAGACUCCAUCUCAAAGAAAAAAAGAGAUAUAUCUGCAUGUGACAUGGAAAGAGGCUCAGAAUAUCAGACAUUUUACUACAGAUCUUGAAAACAGCUCUCCAAAACUAACUCCAGAUCCACCCUGGGGUUCUCAACUCCACAUGGUUUUCUAAAAUUGAGACCAAGACUAAGAUGAAGAGCUAUGCCUCGCCCUGAUGCUGCCAGGACUACUGUUCCCAUGACUACCUUGAGGUGCAGGCUGAGACCCUGGGUGUCUGUGGUGGCAGAGUACAGCAGAGGAGUUGGAGUCAAAGCAGUUUGGAUCCUCAUCCCAGCUGGGCCUCCUGAUGUUGGAGGGCCCUGGACAAAGGGUUUUCAUUUGCUGGGUCUCAGUUCUCCACAUGGACAACAAUGCACUGUAUGAGUUUUAAGGUUCUUUUCAGCUCUGACUCUCUGUGAGUCUGAAUCCAGUAGGAGCUAUUAUUUCCUUGAUUCCUCCUUACUGUUUUGUUCCCUUCUUCUCUGGUUUCUGUAUUAAAACUUUAUAUGUUUAUGAAUGGAUAAUCAAAAUGUGGUAUAUCCAUAUCAUGGAAUAUUAUACAGCCAUGAAAAGGAAUGAAGUACUGAUGCAUGCUACAACAUGGAUGAACCUUAAAAACACUAGGCUAAGUGAAAGAAGCCAGUCUCCAAAGACCAUAUGUGGUAUGAUUUCAUUGAUAUGAAAUGCUCAGAAUAGGCAGAUUUGUAGUGACAGAAAGUACAUUAGUGGCUGCCUAGGGCUAGGAAGAGAUGAGGAGUGACUCUCAAUGAGUACAGGAUUUCUUUUGGAAGUGAUGAAAAUGUUCAAAAAUUGAUUGCAGUGAUGGCUGUACAACUCUGUGAAUAUAUGAAAAACCCUUGAAUUAUACAAUUGAAAUUGGUGAAUUGUAUGGUAUAUGAAUUGUAUCUGAAUAAAGCUGUUAAAAAAACGGGGAAGAAGUUUAAGAGAAAUCCAAUAUAUUUUAAAGCUCUGCUCAUGGCAUUGGAGGUUAGCCUUGAAAAUUAAAUCCACUCACAGUCCAACAAUUCUAUGUUGUUUGGGUUUUUAAAUUUUUCCCUAUUAUUAAAUUGAUUCAUUUGAAUGUAACUACUUUAAAAUCACCCCUUCUCCGAAGGUCUAAUUAGCAGUCUAAUGGGAUCAGAAAAAGGAAAAAUGGGAUCUGACAAGUUUCUAUGCUUGAUUCCAGAGAGUUCAUUGAGGUAGUUUCUCUUUUCUCUAGACUCUUUUGUUAGAUUCUACUGGAAAUCCUAUCUGAAGAAUUAUUAUAGAACAGUGCAGCUCAUACUUUAAUGUGCACACAAAUAACGUGGAGAUCUUGUUAAAAUACAGAUUCUAACUUAGGAGGUCUGGGGUGGGGCCUUGGAGUCUUGAACCUCUGACAAGCUCCCCAUCGAUGCUGAUGCUGCUGGCCCAUGGACCACACUGCAAGCUGCCAGGCUCCAGAACACUGUCUAAUAUGACCACUGAGCACUUGCAAUGUGGCUAGUCUGAAUAGGGAUGUAAUGUAGGUGAAUGAAUGAGAGAAUAUAAGUGAUGUCAGUGUAAAAUAUAUCAUAGUUUUCAAAGACUUAGUAAAAAAAAAGAACAUGAAAUAAUUUUUAUAUUAGUUGGACAUUGGCAUAAUAAUAUUCUGCCCUGGGCGUGGUGACUCACGCCUGUAAUCCCAGAACUUUGGGUGGCUGAAGCAGGCAGAUCACUUGAGACCAGGAGUUAGAGACCAGCCUGGCCAACAUGGCAAAACCGUGUCUCUACUAAAAACACAAAAAUUAGCUGGGCAUGGUGGUGCACACUUGUAAUGUCAGCUACUCGGGUGGCUGAGGCACGAGAAUCACUUGAACCCAGGAGGUGGAGAUUGCAGUGAGCUGAGAUCGUGCCACUGCACUCAAGCCUGGGCAAGAGAGCAAGACUCUGCCUCAAUAAUAAUAAUAAAAAUAUUCUGGGCACAUUAGAUUACAUAAAAUGUAUUAUUUUUAAAAUUACAAAUUUUAUUUGUGAAAGAGACUGGUAGCACCCCUCUCUCAAUUAUUCAACUCCCCUUUUUCCUUAAUAACAGAUUUCCAGCUGGGCAAAUGGUAGCCACAUGGAAUAAAGACUAUAUUCCCCAGCUUCCCUUCCAGCUAGGUGAGACCAUGUGAUAUAGUUUGGACAUUUACCCCAGCCCAAAUCUCCUGUUGAAUUGUAAUCCCCAUUGCUGGAAAUGAGGCCUGGUGGAAUGUGUUUGGACCACGGGGGCAGAUCCCUCAUGGCUUUUGGUGCUGUCUCCGUGAUAGCGAGUUCUCACGAGAUCUGGUCAUUUAAAAUCAUGUGCUCCCCCUCACCCCGCCCACUCUCUCUCUCUUGCUCCUGUUUUCUCCAUGUGAAGUGCCUGCUCCAGCUCUGCCUUCUGCCAUGACUGUAAGGUUCCUGAGGCCCCUCCAAAAGCAGAUGCUACUAUACUUCUUGUAUAGCCUGCAGAACCAUGAGCCAGCUCAACCUCUUUCCUUAUUAUAAACCCAGUCUUGUGUAUUUCUUUACAGCAAUGCAAGAACAGCCUAAUAAGCUGUGUGACUAAUCACUGCAUGAAACGGAGGGAGAGAGUUGUGCAGCUUCCAAGAACCUUCCUUAAGAGAUUAUGUCAGUUCACCCCUUGCCUUCUUCUUCUUCAUUCCUUCCUCCAUCCUGCUGACUAGAAUGAAGAGAUGUUGUCAUCUUGGACCAUGAGGUCAAGGCCAUGAGUGGACCAACAGGAUGUAAAUGUCAUGAGGGCAGGGAUUUUGUCUGUUCCCCAUUCCCCAGCUGCUGUGACCCCAAUGCCUAGUCGGUGCUAAAUAAAUAUUUGCUAAGUGAAUGAAUGAACGAACAAGCCUGGGAGUCCGAUACUGGGGAGGCAAAGUGAAUGAAUGAAUGAACAAGCCUGGGAGUCCGAUACUGGGGAGGCAAUGUCAGCCCCAGACCACCCACCUGGACUUUUACAUGAGUGAGAACCAAACUUCUACCUUGUUUAAACCAACCCUAAUCCUAUCAAUACAAUUUUUAAAAGUCCUAUCAUUGUUUUAGGCCAUAUAAAGUCUACCUAAAAUGUUAAGCUAAACCUCGGUAAAUUGAAUCACAUUUCCAAUGCAUUGUGAUAUUCAUUUUUUAAUGUUGUGGAUUAUUUUACAGAGCCAAAAUCCAUCCACUUGUAUGUUUAAUAAGUUUAGGUUUUAGUAAUUUGGGUUUCUAAAACCAAAAUCCACUUCCAAGAGUACUUUCUUACUAACAAUGCAAAGCACUGUAAAAAUUCAAUCCAGCAAUGAUUUUCUUAACAGCCCUAGAAUGUAAUAUAAGUGUUAUUA